CCUCCUGCUUCAGGAUCAUCGAGCUCUGCUAACUGGACCUCACCCUGCCAGCAGGAUCAGAUUGCAAAGCUUUCACUCUUCCCCACCUUGCCUGCGAGUAAAUCUCUUCUGCGGAAUCUCAGGAAAUCAAACUCCAUCCUAAGACUAUUUACAUCCACCUUUUCUUAGGAGCUGUGUUGGGUCAUGACUCCUGGUUUUAAAAAAUUCUUCAACAAAUGUCAAUAUGAUCCAAGAGAAAAUGUGAUUUGAGUCUGGAGACAAUUGUGUAUAUCAACUAAUAAUAAAUAUCCAGGAUAGUUGAUAGAAGACAAAACACUAUAUUGAUAAUUGCUAUAAUAAAAAAGCUGGGCUGCUUCUUGGUAAGUGAUCAGUUU